rnacentral:rRNA from 1 species
UACGAAGGGGGCUAGCGUUGCUCGGAAUCACUGGGCGUAAAGGGUGCGUAGGCGGGUCUUUAAGUCAGAGGUGAAAUCCUGGAGCUCAACUCCAGAACUGCCUUUGAUACUGAAGAUCUUGAGUUCGGGAGAGGCGAGUGGAACUGCGAGUGAAGAGGUGAAAUUCGUAGAUAUUCGCAAGAACACCAGUGGCGAAGGCGGCUCACUGGCCCGAUACUGACGCUGAGGCACGAAAGCGUGGGGAGCAAACAGG